rnacentral:rRNA from 1 species
AGAGUUUGAUCAUGGCUCAGGAUGAACGCUGGCGGCGUGCCUAAUACAUGCAAGUCGAGCGGUAAGGCUCUGCACCUUUUAUUUGAUCGGGAUUUAUCCUAUGUUUUCUUUAGGCAAAGAAAAUAAAAGAUCGAAUACAGGGUGUAGAGUACACGAGCGGCGGACGGCUGAGUAACACGUAGGAACGUACCCCAAACUGAGGGAUAAGCACCAGAAAUGGUGUCUAAUACCGCAUGUGCUCUUCGGAGUAAAGCUUCGGCGGUUUGGGAACGGCCUGCGCAUGAUUAGCUUGUUGGUGAGGUAAUGGCUCACCAAGGCGACGAUCAUUAGCUGGUCUGAGAGGAUGAUCAGCCAGACUGGGACUGAGAACGGCCCAGACUCCUACGGGAGGCAGCAGUAGGGAAUUUUCCACAAUGGGCGAAAGCCUGAUGGAGCAACGCCGCGUGCAGGAUGAAUGCCUUCGGGUUGUAAACUGCUUUUAUAUGUGACGAAUAUGACGGUAGCAUAUGAAUAAGGAUCGGCUAACUCCGUGCCAGCAGCCGCGGUCAUACGGAGGAUCCAAGCGUUAUCCGGAAUUACUGGGCGUAAAGAGUUGCGUAGGUGGCAGAGUAAGCAAAUAGUGAAAGCGUACGGCUCAACCGUAUAUACAUUAUUUGAACUGCUCAGCUAGAGGACGAGAGAGGUAACUGGGAAUUCCUAGUGUAGGAGUGAAAUCCGUAGAUAUUAGGAGGAACACCGAUGGCGUAGGCAGGUUACUGGCUCGUUUCUGACACUAAGGCACGAAAGCGUGGGGAGCAAACGGGAUUAGAUACCCCCGUAGUCC